rnacentral:rRNA from 1 species
GAUGAACGCUGGCGGCGUGCUUAACACAUGCAAGUCGAACGGAAAGGCCCAAGCUUGCUUGGGUACUCGAGUGGCGAACGGGUGAGUAACACGUGGGUGAUCUGCCCUGCACUUCGGGAUAAGCCUGGGAAACUGGGUCUAAUACCGGAUAGGACCACAUUUUGGAUGGUGUGGUGGAAAGUUUUUCGGUGUGGGAUGAGCUCGCGGCCUAUCAGCUUGUUGGUGGGGUAAUGGCCUACCAAGGCGUGGACGGGUAGCCGGCCUGAGGGGGUGUACGGCCACAUUGAGACUGAGAUACGGCACCGACGCCGACGAGAGGAAGCAGUGGGGAAUAUUGCACAAUGGGCGCAGGCCUGAUGCAGCGACGCCGCGUGGGGGAUGACGGCCUUGGGGUUGAAAACUCCUUUCGCUAGGGACGAAGCGUUAUGUGACGGUACCUGGAGAAGAAGCACCGGCUAACUACGUG